UACGUAGGGGGCAAGCGUUGUCCGGAUUUAUUGGGCGUAAAGAGCGUGUAGGCGGCUAGGUAGGUCCGUUGUGAAAACUCGAGGCUCAACCUCGAGACGUCGAUGGAAACCAUCUAGCUAGAGUCCGGAAGAGGAGAGUGGAAUUCCUGGUGUAGCGGUGAAAUGCGCAGAUAUCAGGAGGAACACCCGUGGCGAAGGCGGCUCUCUGGGACGGUACUGACGCUGAGACGCGAAAGCGUGGGGAGCGAACAGG
rnacentral:rRNA from 1 species